CUACAAGAUUCCUGAUUUGGACGGCUAUGUGAAGACACCUACAGAGACACCUACAUGCAAUAAGAGAGCAUCUGAGACCGAUGACGUGGUGCCUGCAAAAAAAGCAAAAACAGAGAAAGUUUUACCGACUAGAAAUUUGUCCGGCCUUGCAUGCAACAAGAAUUUCGGCUCAGCGAAGGCUCUCCAGGAACACAACAAAGCCAAACAUUAAGUGGUUAGGAUAGUAGUACGUUGACGAUUGCCUUUAAUUAGCUUUUUGGUAAUAAAAAAACAUUAAUGACUUUUGGUAACCCUCUAGAUAUGACUAUAUGGAAUUAUUGUAUUGUGUCUGUAAUGUCUUUAACAAUGGUUAUUAAUUUAUUAUAAUCUAAUCUGUAUUUCACAAUUGGGAUCAAAGGUUUGGUUACCACUUACCAAUCAAUUUAUAUUUUAUAAUCAGAGUGAUCAUCUUAUAAUACAAUUCCUUGUAUUGUUAUAAUGUCAUCUCAAAAUUAGCUCCCUUGCAACAGAUUAACACUAACUGAAUUUUUUGGUUUAAUGCAUAAUUUGAUCAUCA